rnacentral:lncRNA from 13 species
AAUGGAGGACCCUGUAAAGUCUCAAUUCACUCAAGGGGAGGAGUCUCUGAACAUCGCCAACUCUCAUUCGCCCAAACAUAUUAACAACCGCCCUGCCCACUCCUCUGACCACACCCCUAACACAGACCAGGAGCAGGAUGGAGUCACCAUUGGUCUACAGUUGCUCCUCCCUAAAGAGGCUAAGCUCCGCCCCGAGGCCAGCCCCCCUCUGCACUACAACGUCUUCCUCUACAAGAAGGGGACUGGUCCCUCUACUACUACCAGUAAUCCUACCACCACUAACUACACCAACCACAGCAUGGCUACUGCUUGGAACCACUCUGAGCCUAACAUACUGCCCAAUAGUAACUCCAAUAAGACUUCCUGGAACUAUAGCAAUAACUCUAACCCUAACAUGAACUUUAACCCCAUUAAAGACUCACAGGUCUCUCAGAAUCACGUUACUCCUCAUCAUCAAUCUCACACCUCCCCCCAUCGCCACUCCUACCCCCAUUUUACCUCUCCUCAGAGAAUGCCUGUCUCCCCUCAUCAUGCUUCACACCAUUACCAGUCCUCCCCCUCCUCACCCCAUCAUAGCGCCUUCCAUUAUCCUUCCACCCACCACCAUAGUGCUGCCUCCCCUUCCUCCUCCCAUCACCUGCCCUACCAGCCCUCUUCCCCCCCGCUUCCUACACCCAGGGGUCACUCCAGAGCCCCCCACUCAGACAAACCUCACCCCCAAAUCACUCUACAUCCCUCCCCCUCCUCACCCAUCCUCCGCUAUCCCUCCCCACCAUCCUCCCCCCACCUCUCCCACCCUAUCAGCACCUACUCACUGUCUUAA